ACAGCUGGCAGAACCCACGUAAUCAUCAAUUCGGAGUGCAGCUGCAAGCGACCCGAUCGUAUUGCCCAUGGUCAAUUGUGACUUGUUUCAGGAAACUAGUCGUAUGUCGCCGGGUCACUACUUCACAGGAGAUAACUUUUUUUUUUAAAUCAAAAUGUUUUUUUUUAACAGAAAUUCCUUCUCGAACAUGUGAACUUUCAUGUGCCUUAACAACAACCUUGUAUGCAAUCUGUAAAUACAAAUUACAAGCCUAGUUGGUUAAGCCACAAAAAAAGCCAGCAACCUUCCCGCUAGCCAUGAUUGGCUGAGAUAAUGAGUGGGCUGGACAUGCUGAGACAUAAGAUUGGAUUGGUCUGCCAUGUGUGUAGGUAAUCCUGUCUAACGCUGCUUUUUAAAAAUGUAUUGCGUGGUAAAACUUAACAAAAGACUCCACUAUGCAAGUAUCCAUUUCAAUAGAAUGUCACUGCACUCUCUUCUGAGUGUGCCGGAGCGCAGAAUAACUAAUGAAUUUACAAACGCUCAACACCAGUUGAAUAUGGCCGGUGUCAGUAAACGUUGGCAAAAAAAAGCAUAAUUAAAUUGUUGCCAAGAGUACAGUCAACAACACUCUGGGAAACAUGAAAAAAGCCUACCCAGCUCUGCUAGGGGGAGUAAAAUGGUCAGAGUUUGGGUAGGGGCUAAAGCCUGAAAUGAUUCUUAUGGCAUUGCACACGGUCAGUGUGAACCAGAGUGACUUGACACAACGGGCCAAGCAAGCUGUACAAACAAAACGGAAACGACACAGGACGUCUUAUUGUUAAUGAAAGGGGUUGCAGUCUGCCGUGAAGCGUUCACCCAUGAAUACGGCAUCAGUAGAACAUGCCUGAUUCUACUCCACCAGUCAUACAAGGAGAAUGAUCUGAUGCCUCCCAUCAAAAAGAGAGCUGGCCCAAGCAAACACAGGAUACACCUGAAGAAUGAGGACUUGCAGCGAGUUGUGAAUUUAAUCAACAACUAGGCAGAGGAUAAUGCAAUAUUACCAGGAUGCCACCCAGAAUACAAACACUGGUGGAAAGCUGCUGCCAUUUUAUGUGAUAAAAGCAGCAGUGUGGCAUAAAAAACAUGUUUUGAUAAAUUUGAUUGACACAUCAUUUUUGUUGUUAUUUCCUGUUUUACAGCUUCGAUGCCCUGGAGACUGGUGUCACUAAGGAGCAUUCGGACUCAGCCGGGACCAGGUUUCAGCUGUUUUACAGCUUCGAUGCCCUGGAGACUGGUGUCGCUAAGGAGCAUUCGGACUCAGCCGGGACCAGGUUUCAGCUGUUUUACAGCUUCGAUGCCCUGGAGACUGGUGUCGCUAAGGAGCAUUCGGACUCAGCCGGGACCAGGUUUCAGCUGCUGCGCUGCGCAACACUGAAAUCCUUCCUCCCUGCUGCACUGCGCAAUACUGAAAUCCUUCCUCCCAUAGAUGGUCUGCGUGUUACAAGCACCACUUUAUUUCAGUUAUGACCACCACUUUAUUUUAAGAAUGUGAAAUGUCAGAAUAAUAUUUGAGAGAAUUAUUUAUUUCAGCUUUUAUUUCUUUCAUCACAUUCCCAGUGGUCAGGGCUUUGUGAUGGCCACUCCAAUACCUUGACUUUGGUCCUUAAACCAUUUUGCCACAACUUUGGAGGUAUGCUUGGGUUUCAUUGUCCAUUUGGAAGACCCAUUUGCAACCAAGCUUCAACUUCCUGACUGAUGUCUUGAGAUGUUGCUUCAAUAUAUCCAUAUCAUUUUCCUCCUCAUGAUGCCAUCCCUUUUGUGAAGUGCACCAGACCCUCCUGCAGCAAAGCACCCCCACAACAUGAUGCUGCCACCCCCGUGAUUCACGGUUGGGAUGGUGUUCAUCGGCUUGCAAGCCUCCCCCGUUUUCCUCUAAACAUAAUGAUGGUCAUUAUGGACAAACAGUUUUAUUUCUGCUUCAUAAUUUCUCCAAAAAGUAUGAUCUUUGCCCCCAUGUGCAGUUGCAAACCGUAAUCUGGCUAUUUUAUGGCAGUUUUGAAGCAGUGGCUUCUUCCUUGCUGAGUGGCCUUUCAGGUUAUGUCGAUAUAGGACUGGUUUUACUGUGGAUAUAGAUACUUUCUUGUACCUGUUUCCUCCAGCAUCUUCACAAGGUCCUUUGCUGUUGUUCUGGGAUUGAUUUGCACUUUUCGCACCAAAGUACGUUCAUCUCUAGGAGACAGAACGCGUCUCCUUCCUGAGCGGUAUGACGGCUGCGUGGUCCCAUGGUGUUUAUACUUGCAAACUAUUGUUUGUACAGAUGAAUGUGGUACCUUCAGGCAUUUGGAAAUUGCUCCCAGGUAUGAACCAGACUUGUGGAUGUCUACCAUUUUUUUUCUGAGCUACACCUCCAAUUGACUCAAAUUAUGUCAAUUAGCCUAUCAGAAGCUUCUCAAGCCAUGACAUCAUUUUCUGGAAUUGUCCAAGCCGUUUAAAGGCACAGUCAAUUUAGUGUAUGUAAACUUCUGACCCACUGGAAUUGUGAUACAUUGAAUUAUAAGUGAAAUAAUCUGUCAAAAACUGUGUCAUACGCAAAGUAGAUGUCCUAAACGACUUGCUAAAACUAUAGUUUGUUAACAAGAAAUGUGUGAAGUGGUUGAAAAACAAGUUAAUGACUCCAACCUAAGUGUAUGUAAACUUCCUACUUCAACUGUACAUACUGUAUAUUAUUUUUUUCAUGCUGACACUAUCCGUUUCUGAUAUUGCUACUAUGCAAGUAACCAUUUGGCUGUACCGUUUACACCUUCUGUAGAGACUCAUCCACUUAGAAAGAUGUGGCUGGGAUUUAUAGCAUUUCUUCACACGACCCAUCAAUUUAGACAAUUGUGUCUGGGUAAGCGUCAUAAAAUAUUUUUUAUCUAGA